GACAACUCUGCAGCUAGGAAGGAAUUCAAGAUCAUACCCAUCUUUCCUUUCCUUUUUCACAUACAUGCAUACCGACUUUGAAGGUUUUUUGUUCUGAGAGUUUCUGUCUUCGUUCGUACAUUCUCAACUCAUUUUGGCCAACAGGGCUAAGAGUGAUCAGCAGUUCCAACUUCACAUCGAUUUACUAUGGCUUUUGGGGAGUUGAGGUGAAGCCUGGGCAACGUGUCCUUUCUAACUCAAAUGGUAAAAGACUUCGAAUUACUCAGGCGUCUUUGGGGAUUGGCAAUGCGACGGAAAAGACCAUUGUCCAAUGUAGUGUUGGGAGGAAGAGGAGACCAAUUAUCCUGUGUGCUUUGGUACCAUGUAAAGUUGAGUCAUGCCGUUUGGAGUUGGAGACAUUGAUGAAAAUGAGACAUAGCGAGCUGCCAGUUUCGCCACCUUCCCCGAUAAGUUCGUAAUAUAUUUGAUGUUGAAUCUUGAUUAUGUGUUUAGUUUGUUUGAAAUUAUUAUGAUUUCGUUUAAAUAUUUUGUAGGUUUAGUCUCAUAUCCAUAAUAUUAGUUGG